UACGGGGGGGGCAAGCGUUGUUCGGAAUUACUGGGCGUAAAGGGCUCGUAGGUGGCCAACUAAGUCGGACGUGAAAUCCCUCGGCUUAACCGGGGAACUGCGUCCGAUACUGGUUGGCUUGAGUUUGGGAGAGGGAUGCGGAAUUCCCGGUGUAGCGGUGAAAUGCGCAGAUAUCAGGAGGAACACCGGUGGCGAAGGCGGAUCUCUGGGCCAUUACUGACGCUGGAGGAGCGAAAGCGUGGGGAGCGAACAGG
rnacentral:rRNA from 1 species